rnacentral:misc_RNA from 1 species
AAGUCGUAACAAGGUAUCCGUAGGUGAACCUGCGGAAGGAUCCUCGCAUCAACGCUUGUAUACCAAUAUUCAAACUCAAUGUGAAAUGUAACGUCCCUACUUUUGCUCACUUGCAUCUUAACUGAUGCCAGUGAAUGGAAGUAGACUACCCUGUUAAAGAUUCAACAGCUGCUUCGGUGGCUGCUUGGGUUUUUAACGUUUAUUCCCUAAAUUUUAACCCUAUAAACUAAAUGUUUGUCUUAUCUUCUUCAGACUGAGUUUGUCAUUUGAGAAUUUUAUCGUUCUCUUUUGUCGAUUUCAGCUUUGUUACGAAAUAUUGAACAACUCUUAGCAAUGGAUAUCUUGGGUCAU